CCCUUAGAUGUUCUGGGCUGCACGCGUGCUACACUGAUAUUGCCAAUAUGUCAUUCUUAUCCGAAAUGGAUUGGGUAAUCAAGUAAUGAAAUUUCAUGCUUGGAAUCGGUAAUUGCAAUUUUAUCGUGAACGAGGAAUUCCUAGUAAGCACUAGUCAUCAGCUAAUGUUGAUUAUGUCCCUGCCCUUUGUACACACCGCCCGUCGCUACUACUGAUUGGGUGUUCAAGUGAGAUGCUUAGACCCUUGUUGCAUGGUUCAUUAUUGUGCUCCGAAAGGAAAAAGUUUCAAGCUUGAGUGUCUAGAGGAAGUAAAAGUUGUAACA
rnacentral:rRNA from 1 species